GACGAACGCUGGCGGCGUGCCUAAUACAUGCAAGUAGAACGCUGAAGGAGGAGCUUGCUUCUCCGGAUGAGUUGCGAACGGGUGAGUAACGCGUAGGUAACCUGCCUGGUAGCGGGGGAUAACUAUUGGAAACGAUAGCUAAUACCGCAUAACAGUAGAUGUUGCAUGACAUUUGCUUAAAAGGUGCAAUUGCAUCACUACCAGAUGGACCUGCGUUGUAUUAGCUAGUUGGUGAGGUAACGGCUCACCAAGGCGACGAUACAUAGCCGACCUGAGAGGGUGAUCGGCCACACUGGGACUGAGACACGGCCCAGACUCCUACGGGAGGCAGCAGUAGGGAAUCUUCGGCAAUGGACGGAAGUCUGACCGAGCAACGCCGCGUGAGUGAAGAAGGGUUUCGGAUCGUAAAGCUCUGUUGUAAGAGAAGAACGAGUGUGAGAGUGGAAAGUUCACACUGUGACGGUAUCUUACCAGAAAGGGACGGCUAACUACGUG
rnacentral:rRNA from 1 species